UUAGAAAGAUAGGAAUU
rnacentral:tRNA from 1 species